GGACCUCCUGACAGAAGAUGCCAGACAUCAAAAGAGAAGAAUCAAAAUAAGAAAAAUUGGAGAACAGUGACCUUCCACUUUGGGGAAAGAAUUAAGAGCAUCACUGCACAGUGCUUGGAAAUUGCCGUAAAAAUCAAGCUGUCAGAAGAAUGGCAGAAGAACAGAACACAUGGAAGACAGAAGCAAUUAAAAUUAGACAACUGAAUGACCACACAAACUGAAAACACUGAAGAAAAUGGAAUGACUAGACCAGCAAGUUUUUCAUUCACCACAGCACAGAAACCACUAUCCAUGUUGAAUUGUCAGAAUCAUCACUCUGCUCUCAAGAAUUCCUGCUCUCAAGGGACUGAGGCUCACUAUUUACUGUAACGAGAGGAAGAUGCGUAGUGUGGGAAGAUUUCCCAUACGAUGGGAACUGUGAAUCAAGGUGAGCCAAUUAUUUUAAAAUACUAAAUGGGAAGCUUUCUUUUUAGUGAUUUUAAUUUUUUUAUUAUAUGGGAAGGUUAAUGAUAUAUACCAUUAUUGAGGGAAAACAACUAAUAGACAAUGUUCCUAGAUUUCUUAUGGGAAUCUGAUGUGAAGAAUGAGACAGAAGAAAGUCAUUUUA